GUUUAUAUAGUUUAAACUAAAACAUUACAUUUUCAAUGUAAAAUUAAAAUCUAAAAUUUUAUAAACU
rnacentral:tRNA from 1 species